CAUGCUGUAAACGUUGGGCACUAGGUGUGGGGACCUUGUGGUUUCUGCGCCGUAGCUAACGCAUUAAGUGUCCCGCCUGGGGAGUACGGCCGCAAGGCUAAAACUCAAAGGAAUUGACGGGGGCCCGCACAAGCAGUGGAGUAUGUGGUUUAAUUCGAAGCAACGCGAAGAACCUUACCAGGGCUUGACAUCCUCGGACGACACUAGAGAUAGUGUUUUCUCUUCGGAGACUGAGAGACAGGUGG
rnacentral:rRNA from 1 species